rnacentral:rRNA from 1 species
UAUGUGAUCGUCUCUCGCAUAUCAAUAAGCGGAGGAAAAGAAACUAACAAGGAUUCCCCUAGUAACGGCGAGUGAAGCGGGAAGAGCUCAAAUUUGAAAUCUUAAAGGGUUUCCCUUUACGAAUUGUAGUUUAAAGAAGUGUUUUCUGUUGAGGUUUUGGUAAAAGUUCUUUGGAAUAGGACAUCAUAGAGGGUGAGAAUCCCGUAUUUGACCUUUACUUUCAACUUUGUGAUACACUUUCAAAGAGUCGGAUUGUUUGGGAAUGCAGUCCAAAAUGGGUGGUAAAUUUCAUCUAAAGCUAAAUAUUGGCGAGAGACCGAUAGCGAACAAGUACCGUGAGGGAAAGAUGAAAAGAACUUUGAAAAGAGAGUUAAACAGUACGUGAAAUUGUCAAAAGGGAAGCGUUUGACACCAGUGUUGUUUUUCUGAAAAUCAAUUAAAGAACUGUUUAUGCUAAGUUGUUUAGACUUUAUCAGCUAACUGUUUAGUUUUGAGCUUUUCUUUAAUGCACUUUUCAGUUAACAAGUCAACAUCAAUUUCUUUUGCUGUAAAAAAGCUUGAGGAAGGUGGCUUGAGAUUCGUCUUAAGUGUUUAUAGCCUCUUGCCUAUGCAGUCGGAGAGAUUGAGGUCUGCAGCGUAGAUCCUUCGGGGCUAAAUGCAUUUGUGCUAAGUUAUAGCAUUUUAUAGACAACUUGUUGAACUAUGAUUUGUCUUGUAGCUUACUCGCUUAUGUUAUUUUACCUACGCUUAGGAUGUUGAUCUACAGAGCGAGAGU